CGGCGAGUGAGCGGCAAAAGCUCAAAUUUGAAAUCUGGUACCUUUGGUGCCCGAGUUGUAAUUUGGAGAGUACCACUUUGGGACUGUACUUUGCCUAUGUUCCUUGGAACAGGACGUCAUGGAGGGUGAGAAUCCCGUGUGGCGAGGGUGUCAGUUCUUUGUAAAGGGUGCUCGAAGAGUCGAGUUGUUUGGGAAUGCAGCUCUAAGUGGGUGGUAAAUUCCAUCUAAAGCUAAAUACAGGCGAGAGACCGAUAGCGAACAAGUACAGUGAUGGAAAGAUGAAAAGAACUUUGAAAAGAGAGUGAAAAAGUACGUGAAAUUGUUGAAAGGGAAGGGCAUUUGAUCAGACAUGGUGUUUUGCGCCCCUUGCCUCUCGUGGGCUUGGGACUCUCGCAGCUCACUGGGCCAGCAUCGGUUUUGGCGGCCGGAAAAAACCUAGGGAAUGUGGCUCUGCGCCUCGGUGUAGAGUGUUAUAGCCCUGGGGAAUACGGCCAGCCGGGACCGAGGACUGCGAUACUUGUUAUCUAGGAUGCUGGCAUAAUGGUUAUAUGCCGCCCGU
rnacentral:rRNA from 1 species